rnacentral:lncRNA from 1 species
GAGACAGUGUUACUUGAUUAGUUCUACUUAUUUUCUCUUUAAAGAAGUGGGAUAUUAUGAUAAUAUGAUGCCAUAUAAAAUGUUACUUCUAGUUAAUUUUUGUUUGCUUCUAAAUGUUAUUGACCACAUUCUUGAAACUGGCUUGGUACAUAACCAUCCAUCAAUAAAACAUGUAAGGUUUUGAAUGUCUACAAUUGGUAGUUUUUUCUGGGUCAGCAAAUUUGAAUCAGACUUAUAGAACAAGGAAAUGAGAAUUUGUGUAUACCAUGACAUAACCCACCCUAUUAUCCAGGCACAUCGAAAUAUUGAAUAGACAGCAGUAAUCUAUCCAAAGAUUGCCAAUAACAUCCUAUCUUUUCAGGAUGUCGAUUAAAUCAGAAUAAAAAACAUGCAUGAUUUCUUUUCUUCUAAAAUUAUUUCAAACAGCUAAUCCUAACCAAUGGUUUUCCCAGUCUCAUGUGACACAUGCCUGUUUGGUACGUUCACUAUUGGAAAAUAGCAUCAAGUUUGAAACUGAAACUUAUAAGUACAUAACAGUAAUCAGAAAAAUAUCCCAAAAGGCCCAAAUAGUGUUACUGAAAUGUGCAUUUCUUUCAUUUGGAUUAUUGUUCACAAAGCAUAUAAGAAGUUAUACACAUGUUUUUAACUCGAUAAGAGGUGAUGUAUAUGUUUGAUGGUUGAAGGCAAAAAUUUCUAGUUUUCCAUUGUUUACAAAUUACAAUUAUUAUACCUCAUGUCGUCUAUGGGUGUGUUUGGUUGGGCUGUGGCUUUUGGAAAAGCUGCUGUGAGCUGUGGGCUGUGGAAAAGCAGCUGUGAGAAAGCAGCUGUGGGAAAAGCAGAAGACUGUUUGGUUAGAGGAGCUGUGAAACUGUAGGCUGUGUAAGAAAUAUCUGUAAUGUCCCUAAAGGUCUGUGAGUGUGUUUAUAUGCAAAUUGCUCAUAACAAAAUAAAUUUUAUAUAUUUUUCAUCCAUUAAAGUGAUUGGUCCACAUAAAUAGAAUUAUAUCCAUCAAAAGUUCUAUACAAGGACGCCAUCCUUCAACAUGGAUGAGCAGGGAGCGGCGGACGGCGGGCCGGCGGCCGGCAACCGGGGGCGACGGGCGGCGGGUUGCGGCGGCCGGGGUCGUUGGACGGCGGCCGUCCGGGAGGGCGGGGUGUGGCGGGCGGCCGGGGGCGUCGGGCCGGCGGCCGUCCGGGGGGCGGGGUGGGGCGGGCGGCCGGGGGCGGCGGGCUGGCGACCGGGGGCGCUGGGAAGCGGGCUGGCGACCGAGGGCGGCGGACGGCGGGCCGGCGGAUGGCGGACGGCUGGCCAGUAGCCGGCGACUUGGGGCGACGGGCGGCGGCGGCCGUCCGGGGGUGGGGUGUGGUGGGCGGUUGGGGGCGCCGGGUCGGCGGGAAGCGGACCGAUGGCGUCCGGCGGUGACGGGCGGCGGGCGGACGGACGCGGGCGGCGGGGUGCGACGGGCAGUGGGCGGCAGGCGGCGGGGUGCGGGCGGCGACGGGCGGACGGACGCAUCGAGAGAAAUAGAUCGGCGCAAAAAACGAAUCGUUACCUUCAUAAUCAGUGGCAGGUGGGUAAUUUUUUACCCUAAAAGCACUUGAAAGCAGGGGGAAGGUGCUUUUGAUUUUGUACUAGAGCAAAAGUAGCUUUUGGGCAAAAGCACGUAGAGCUUUUAGACCCUUUGGUUGGCUUUUGGCUUUUGGAAAAGCAAAAGCAGGUUGGAAAGCCCAACCAAAGGCACCCUAUAUAUGUUAGAUCCAUUGCAAAGACUGUGAACUCGAGACUUGCUCGUUCACUAACUCUCAGUGGAGAGGGAGUUUAAUCUGUGUAAUCCAAUUGCUCAACUAGAUAUUGAUGUAGAUUGCAGUGUAUAUAAGCUUGCCUUAGGGAUGCAUCAUGGAGCAAGUAAUGCUAUGAUGGAGGUCGCAUGAAAAAUAUUACAGCCAAGAUCACCUAACAGCAAUGAAAACAAGAAGCAAAUCUUAUGAGAGUAGCACUCAAUAAGAACUCAAAGUUUAUUCAAUAAAAAAUUUGGAGAACAUUCAGUUAAUUCAGUCAUGCUCAUGCAUAUUGGAGUGUUAUUUGACAUACAGUGGCAGCCUUGCACAAAACAUAAAACAAGAAACAUGCAAGUCAUUUCCUAUCUUGGACUUGCAUGCAUCUCUAUCUCUAAGGUAGUGAUCAUUAGGAGCAAUUUGUUGAUCCAUGUGGUUGCUGAGAGAGCAUAUCAGUUCUUUAGUUAGCUAAUGUUAUUUUCAAAUUUUCUGCAGCACUGCCAAUGGCCGGAGAUGAGGAUCCAAGAAGUGGCGAGCCAGCAGCCCUCUCGAAUAAAGUGGGCGCUUCCAUCUGCGAGAUGGCACCUGAGGUGCUUUCCAAUGAAGCCUUGUCCAGCGAGAAGGAACCUGUAGAGACCAUUGGGCAAUCCAAGGCAACAGGGGAAGACAAGGAGGCUAGGGACGACAAUAGUGAAGAUAAGCGAAACAAGAGAGCUAAAAGGUAGAGUAGCAGGUUGUACAAUAUCACAGUAUUUUGAAACUAGACUUUUUUUCCAGUUUUAUUAAAACCACGACUUGUUUGGCAGGAUGUACCAUUGACAACAGUAUUUUGUUUUUUUUAAAUCGGUUAUUACUUACUAGAAUAUUCCAGUAAAUAAGCUGCUUGGACGCGUAUCCCUGAGUUGGGAGAUAAGAUCAAGAUGUUCCGUUAUUUAAAUAACUUUUGUGCCAAAGAUACUAUAUAAAUCGAUCUGGGAUGAGUGAUGAGCAGUCAGAAGCUAAUAUUUUCUUUAAUCAAACUUGUAUACCAGUUCUUCAAGCCUCUUUGCUAUCUCUAUCUUUCUUUUUCAUCUCUUGUUGCCAUGGAAGCAUGUGUGGCCGUUUUGUUCACGAGAGCUCAAGAUCGGAGAUAGAUGGAAAAGGGAGCACGCAUCGGACCCAAAACUCCCGAUAUAACUUUUUUUCCACGCGUUUAUAUUUGUGCUAACACGUUUUCCAUUUUUUAAAAUAAUUUUUAAGUCCAUAAAGUUUGUCAUGAUUAUAUAGUUUUUUAUUCUAGGUGUGGACAGUACUGUAUUGUAGUGAAUAUAUGACGUGUAUGUUUUGUUCUGAGUGUUCGAGCUGUAGUAAACUUUAUUCCUGUGGGUCAAUACAUGUCGCGUCCAGCCCGUGGGCCAAACCAACCCAGCCCAACGACAUGAGCCCGUGAGCCAAACCAACCCAACGACAUGAGCCCGUGGGCCAAACCAACCCAAAGACGCAAGCCCACCUAAUCUAUUUUUUUUAAAAGACCAAGCCCACCAAAUCUCGCCGACUUCCUCGCAGCCCUUCCAGCCGCGCCGGCAAGUCCUCGCUUCCACAUCACACAACCGCCGCGGGUCGGCGGCGCCAUCAACCCCUCCACUCCGCCGCCGCGCGCCACCUCGACCUCGCCAUUUUAUGUCGCCCGCCUCCUCCCUCCUCUCCCCGCACGCCCCCCGGCGAAUCCUCCCGCUCCUCCUCCCCCUCCGCCUCUCCUCCUCCUCCUCCGCCGCCUCCGCGCCAAUGCCUCCCCGACGCGACGGUGUACGUUCUCCUGCCCUCCCUCCGCCGAUAAACCCUCUAAACCCUAACCCUGCCUCACACUCUCUCUCUCUCUUCCACGCAGACCAAGCCGCCGCCGCGCAAAUGGAAGCCCAAGGCCACCGACGCCUCCUUCUCCUCGUCCUCCGCCUCCGCCGCGGCCGGGAUCGCCGAGCCCGUCGGGAGGAUGACCCUCGCCUCGCAGGAGCCGCCGCGAGCGGGGGCGGCGCAGAUGUGGGUGCCGAGGGGCUACGCGACCUCCGCGGCGGACGCCCCCGGCGUCGCCUCCGCGUCCACCUCGGCCUCCGCGGCGGUCACGGCGGAGCAGGGCGGUGCUGCGAGUGGGAUGCUCUCGAACCUCUUCAAGGUGGACAACAACACCUUCACCGAGGCCCAGAUCAGGGCCACGUUCUACCCCAAGUUCGAGAACGAGAAGUCCGAUCAAGAGGUGAGUGCUUGGUCUGCUGCUGCUGCUGUUCAAUUUGUCAUCGUCCCUACCAUUUCUGACUUGUGACUGACAAUGACAAGUGUUUUACCCAAAAAUCGUGGAGGAUUCACCCUGUGAUUGGUAGGCUGGUUCUGAUAAUCUGAUGCUUAUAGAUUGCUGUCACAUUGUGGGUUGGCUGGGGUUAGUUCAGUAGUUUUUGGUGGGCAUAGGUUAACCAACAAUUGCUGCCUGUUUCCUAUGCAUUGUGGUGAUUGGCGAAAUUGACUAUUGGAAUUCCUAGAGGAUUUGCAGAGUACUUCGACUGAAAUUAGCAUUUGUACAUUCUGUGAUGAUUUGAGCAGUUGCACACUCGAACAUGGUAUUGUAGCUGUAGAGCUCGUUCCAGGACUUGAUGAAGUCAUCUAAAUUUUCAUCAGUUAAAGGAUAUAACCAUUUAAUCUUUCUCCUAAUAAACAUUUAAUUUGCAUCUCUACUCAAUUUUCAAUUUUUACUGUAGCUGUAUAGCUCUUGGUGACUUUGAUGUGGCCAUAAUUAGCCUCUCAUAAGGCAACGCUUAAUGAGCUCACUGUGCAAUAAAUUCUUGUGGUUGUAGAUUAUUCUGUCUUCGUUUUUCUGUUGUUGCCAUUCAGUCAGUGGAAUAAUAAUUUUAGUUUUAUUGAGAAGCUUACACUCACAUUUGCGAUGACAGACAAGAACCAGAAUGAUUGAGAUGGUAUCGCACGGCUUAGCAAACCUUGAGGUAUGUCUGAUAUUUUGUUUUGCCUUUUAAUCAAUUAGUGAACUAAUUAGAAAACCUUGAGUGAACUAAUCAGUGAUCAUAGUGAUGAUGAAUUCCCUCCUAAUAUAGUAUAAGAACAUUAUUCCUCCAGGUUACACUCAAGCAUUCUGGGUCACUCUUCAUGUAUGCUGGUCACCAUGGUGGUGCAUAUGCAAAAAACAGCUUUGGGAAUGUGUAUGUUUUGUUCAUCUCUCCUCAUUAUUUUAAGAUCAAUUUAUGUGAUGAUUGAAGUUUUCAACUUUUGCUUUUAGAUACACUGCUGUUGGUGUUUUUGUUCUGGGGCGUUUGUUUCGUGAAGCUUGGGGGAAGGAGGCCCCUAAAAUGCAAGCAGAAUUCAAUGAUUUCCUUGAGGUAUUCAAUGUUUAGGGCAAUGUUUCUCAAGAACAUCAUGAUUUUCUUGUUUGUGGAGUAAUUCAUAUAGCAGUGGAAUAUAGCCUUGAACUAAGGAGAAUUAAUUUUGUUUAUUUUCUGUUGUGGUUUCAGUAUAACAUCUUAACAUUGCAUCUUUCUUAAGUAGCCUAGGAAGUUAGAGGAGCAACCCUAGGCUUGCUUAGCUGUUUUGCAUAUUUUGCAAUGUGGGAUCUAGUUGGAUGUUGGAAACUUUGUUAGUAAGAGUAAGUUUUUACUGUUACAGCUCCAAAAAAAAAAUGCUUUUAGCUAACAAGUCGAUGAAAAAAUCAGGAAGUGUAUGUGCUUUCAUUGCAGUGCUAGUUAAUAUAAUCUACUUAUUAAAUUACUAUUACAUUAAAACUCAUCAUUUUAGCUCUGCUACUUUUUUGCUUUCUGGGUAAUGGAGGGUUUCUGGCUCUGCAUAUUUCUCGCAGUUCCUAAUUUUUACCUGUUUUCUGCUUCUAGAGAAACCGUAUAAGCAUUUCAAUGGAACUUGUGACAGCUGUGUUAGGAGACCAUGGGCAAAGGCCUAAGGAUGAUUAUGGUACGUCCUUUCUUCUGUCCAAGGCAAUUAGUAAUCUACUUAUAGUUCGUUCAACUUUUUUAGAUAUUUAUUGAUUUCGGUAAUUUUUAAAGAAUAAAAAAGGGUCAGAUUUUGAUUUCAGUGGUUUUCUUUACACUCACAAAAUCUACCAUUUUGUUGUGUCACAACUGUUGAAAUAUCUUUAUUGGAUAGAUUCCUUAUGUGUCACUGAUUAUUUCUUUGUUUCCUUAUGUCACCGGAUUGCAAAGCCAUUUUUUUUCUUUCCCAUCGUUGACUGUUAAAAGCUUGUAAAAUGUUGCAUUUGUAUGGUAAUCACCAAUUUGCCCCUAGUUUACAUGGACAUCGAAACUUCAACAGUUUAUUUCCUGCAGUGGUACAUUUGGAAAGUUCUAUUUGUCUUGUAAAAUUGUAAUGUAAAAUCAGCACCAACUAUUUAUCUUUUUUCUUUCUAUUUAUAAUUUAUAUUGCCUUUGGAUAUGACUCUGCUGGUACUUUAGGGCAAUUAAUUUUGCGUGCUACUUCUCCUGCACCAUUACUUUACUAUUGAGUUGUUUGCUGCACUUGUUUAUUUCAUUACUUUCACUGUUAUCGCUAUGUGUAUAUUUAUUCAUUUUUGUUUUGGGCGCUAUGCAGCUGUGGUUACAGCUGUAACGGAGUUGGGUCAUGGCAAGCCAAAAUUCUAUUCUACUCCGGAGGUGAUCGCAUUUUGUCGGAAAUGGCGCCUUCCUACGAACCAUGUCUGGCUAUUUUCUACAAGGUAUCCACCAAUAACUUUAUGCUCAGGAACAUUGCAUUAUAAAGAAUUUGGCUGCUUUGUUUCAUGUGAGAUACAUUUACAUCCUUUUUAAAAUUGAGUGUGAAAUGAUGACAACCUUGUAUAGGUUGUUUAGAGAUGGACGUAAGAUCUUCUAAUAAUACACUUGUCGAUUGUGUCAUCUACUUUCAUAUUUUCCAAUCUUGUGGUGUUUCGGCAACUUGCAUUACUAUGCAUGCCCUCUGCCAAAAUUGUCUUAUGCUUAGUUCUUGUCACAAUGGUUUGUUGCAUUGGCUGAUAACCUAUGCUAAGCAUGCUCACUUUUUUCAUGCUAAGCAUGGCUGAUAACCUCCGCCAUUUGCCGAUCUUGUUGGGUUUCGACUCUAACCUACCCCAACUUGCUUGGGACUGAAAGGCUUGGUUGUUGUUGGUGGUGUUGUUCUUGCUUGCCCUCUGCCAUCUUUUGCUUUUUUUCCUGUCACAAUGGAUCGUUGCGUUUACUGAUGGUUUAUGCUGAUGCAUGCAUAAUUUUUCCUCUGCACUAUCAAUUAGUACAUGUGCGUUAUCAAGGAGUAUAGACUUUUGUAUCUCUUAAGUUGAUGUACCAUGUUUAUACUGCUAAAAACAUGUUCAACUGCUAGCUUGUUAUUGCAUAAUGCUAUUUUUUUUCAUGCUUGCAUUCAUCCAUCGGAUGGCCUGCAGGCACAAUUUUGCAUGUAAUUGCAGGAGCAACUUACAGGAGUUAUGCGUUCACCGCUGAUUCUGAUCAUAACAUUACUAUGCUCUCUAUUUGCAUCAUUCGGUAGGAAAUCGGCCAGUUCAUUCUUUGCUGCUUACGAUGCAUUAUGUGAAGAAGGAACUGCAACACCUGUUUGCAAAGCCCUUGAUGAAAUAGCUGAUAUAUCGGCACCAGGUAAAAAUAUCUCGACUGAUUGUUAUACUGACUGAUGUCUAAAUCAAUCUUGUUCUUUUUCACCACUGUUAGGUCUGGUCAGUUAAGUACCACCUGUGGUUAGAAGUUGGGAACUCAUGCUAGGUUAAUUCUGUUGCAGGGUCAAAAGAUCAUGUAAAGGUGCAGGGUGAGAUCCUUGAAGGUCUGGUUGCUCGUAUUGUGACUCGUGAAAGUUCAGCUCAAAUGGAAGAAGUUUUGAGAAACUUUCCACAGCCUCCAAUAGACGGCGGUAAGCUGCUGAACUAGAAUCCUAUAUCUUAUCUCAUUGUUAAGAGCAGAUUACGUGAGCUUUACAAGAAACAAGAAGUUUUGGUUUAGGUGGUUAUUUGAGGAAAACUUUUGGAUGCAUGUGGGUUUGUUCUAACUUAUGAGAUUAUCUCAUGAUGCAUUUCAGUUAUGAGCUCACAUUCAGGUUUUCCUUUCUCGUUCAGUUGAUUUAGAUUUGGGACCAAGUUUACGAGAAAUAUGUGCUGCUAAUAGGUCAGAUGAAAAACAGGUAUUAAUUUUGUCAUGUGGUUUUUUAUGCUUUAUGAUAUGUGCUCCAUGUUGUUCAACCUUGCUAUAACCUCUUUGCAAUUAUUUGACCAGCAAAUUAAAGCACUUCUUGAAAAUGUUGGAGCUUCGAUGUGUCCAGACUUUUCAGAUUGGUUUGGACAUAGUGGACUUGAUGCUCAGUCGAAAAGUACUGAUAAAUCAGUUGUCCCUAAAUUUUUGCAAGCACAUCCUACAGACUAUGCAACUAAGAAACUGCAGGUUGGUAGCUGUAUUUCUCAACUGGAAUGGGCAGGGUUUUGUUAUAAAUAAAGUUGCUACAACAAUGUAUCAGUAACUAUACAGACAUUAUAUGUUUAUUUUGUUGACUGUUGCAGGAGAUGAUUCGCUUGAUGAAGCAGAGGCACUUCUCAGCAGCUUUCAAAUGUUACCUGAACUACCACAAAACUGAUUCUCUUUCAAAUGACAACUUGUGUUACAGGAUGGUUGUACAUGUGCAUCACGAUUCUGUUUUUAAACGUUAUCAGCAAGAGAUGAGGUGAGCUUUGUGAAGUCAGCCUUGUGCUUUACCUUUUUUUUAGGGCAAGCCUUGCAUUUUACCUUGAUAUCUCUUUUAUUAACUCUAAACGUAUGCUGCUAUUUUUAGGAAAAAACAAAGGGUUGUGGCCUCUAUAUAGAGGUAAGCUGAGCCAAUUGUAAUUCAGAUAUGAGCUAUGGUUCCAUUCACUGACAUGUAUUCCAUGGUUAGGUUUCUUUGUUGAUGUAAACCUGUUCAAGGCGACGAAUAAGAAGGCAGCUGAACUUGCCAAAAAUGGCGAUGCUUUACUGAAAAAUAUCAACGGUGCCAUGGACUCAAGUUCUUCAACUGUGGAUGGUCUGGCUGAUGAGGAUUCAAAUCUAAUGGUUAAGCUUAAAUUCUUGACAUAUAAGGUACUUUCUAUCAGUGUUUUCAGCUUUCUUUUUGGUGUUAUUGGUCACUUCUUGAGAUACCACUACCAGCAUUAAAGGUUAAUGGUUAUGUUGGAUUGUUCAUGCUCAUUUUGCUGUGCUUCUAAAUUAACUUUUGAAAUGUUACUGCUACGCCUACGGUUAUGCAUGGUUGUGCUAUUCCUUUAUUGCCAUCUAAUCUACUUUUGGUAUUUCUGUUGCACUUCAUUUCCCUUUGAAGCUAUUUUGUUUUUGAAUGUGUUAAGGACUAAACCCAUAGACUUUGUUGUAUUCUGAAUCCUCUAACAGUUCUUAUUUUUCUAUUUGACAGUUAAGGACAUUUUUAAUUCGUAAUGGCCUGUCUACCCUUUUCAAAGAUGGACCGUUAGCUUAUAGAACUUAUUACUUAAGGUAUGCUAUGCAUGCAAAUUUUCAGUUUCUGUCAUAUUUCUGCAACAGAUAGGGUAUUAAUGAAGAAUUGAAAUGAAAACAUAUUCAGUUUGCUACUUUCUGGUACAACUGUUCUAUUUAAGAUGUCUCCAUAAUUAUGUAAUGCUAGAAAAACAGUGCUAAUGCUUCUUCUAGACCUAUGCCUGUUUAAUACUGUGUUGAUGAGCAAUGCUAAUAUCUUUCAAGUGUAGCCAUGCAAAGGCCGGAUAGAGCCUUUUCUGGCAUUCAAGUUCUUUUCUUCAUCACACAAUAAUUCGAAUAUUUUAUUCUUAUAGCUGUAAAGUUUUUAUUUUAAGUUCUGUACUAUAUAUAUAGUUUUAUUUUGCUGUAAUAAUAGAAGUAAUUCUUGGAGAUUUUAGUCAUAUAAUCUUCUGUGCUCUCUAUUAAAUAGAAAAUAUGCCAUCUCUGAUGUUAAUACCCCUAUAUGUGUUGAUAGGCAAAUGAAGAUUUGGGGAACAUCACCAAGCAAACAGACAGAGCUUAGCAGAAUGUUGGAUGAAUGGUACUAUUACCACCUCCUUUCGCUUACAGAACUGUGCAUAUUCGUUCAUUUAAUUUGAUUGCCUUACCCAUUCAGGGCUGUCUACAUUAGAAGGAAGUAUGGGAAUAAGCCACUGUCAUCCUCAACAUAUCUUAGUGAAGCAGAGCCUUUCCUUGAACAAUACGCUAAACGCAGCCCUUCAAACCAAGCUUUGAUUGGGGCUGCUGGUAACCUAGUGCAGACAGAAAAUUUCUUGGCCAUACUUGAUGCAGAGAAAGAUGAAGAGGGUGAUCUUCGGGCAGAACAUGGGGCAGCACCUUCUAGUCCUGCAUCAACGUCUGCUGAUGUGGUUCCCAAAACAGAGGGCCUUAUUGUCUUCUUCCCGGGUAAAGUAACUUCUGACAUGUGCUUAACAACUUUUGAGUUGCAUUAGGAUAACUGAGACACUGGGUGUCUUUUCACUAAUCUGAAUUGAAAAGUACGAAAAAAGUUUAUAUUAUUCCACUGGUUUGUGGGUAUACGGUAUAUCUUGACUUUCAGCUGGGUUACUGAUGUGCCACUCUGGUCGAACCAUCUCUUAAUCUUAAAUAAUACUAGGUCUUAAGGUAAGCUUUAGGUUUUCUUAAUCCAUCUAAACAUACAAAAGUUGUAGUGUCCACUUGCUUAUCCAACACACAAACGAUAGCCAAUCAAGCUUAUAGCCCUUGGACCAGAUAAACUAAGUAAUCGACAAAAAUUAUGUUGGUACAGUGUUCUUAUUGGUAUUUUUCUUACCAAUCUUCAUCCUGUUCAUACUUGAAACUGUUAAAAUAAAAUAUUUCUCCUAUCAAACAGUAUUGUUUUAUAUUAAAAAAAUUGUGUGUGUGUGUGGGGGGGGGGGGGGGGGAUCUUGAUGCUGAUUUUGUACUUUCGUUUCAGGUAUACCUGGUUGUGCAAAGUCAGCUCUAUGUAAGGAAAUAUUAGACACACCUGGUGGCCUGGGUGAUAAUCGUCCUCUCCAUAGCUUGAUGGGUGAUCUUAUUAAAGGUAUGGAGCAUUUUCAACAUUAUUUAUGCUGUAUGGUUACUUUGUUUACUGGAGUAUAACGUGGCUUCAAACCGUGAUGGACAGUGCUUUUGCACCUUCUUUAGGACCAUCCUAUUGUGCACAAUGGUUAUGGGCUUACCGAUAUAUGCUUUGUUCCUGCCAAUAUACUGUCUUUGCAUUAUGGUCUGCUGUAUCAACUGAGAGCCUUGAUUUUACUAUCUUGUUCAUUAUGCUGGUGCCUAGUCAUAUUUCAUUCAUGUGCUACGUUACUCUGUACAAUUGGUAUAAACUUAAGUGCCAACUAUGUAUCUGUAAGAGAGAAACUCUCAUCUGAGUCCUUCCAUUCUUACACAAAGUUCUGGUUUGGAGGUUCAGAUUGAAUUAUUUAGUUUGGAAAAGCCCUUUACUGUCUUUUAUUGCUUGCUUUGAUUCCUAAACAAAGACUUGGCUGCCUUGAUACAAGAGGUGCUGGACUGGCUAAAUCAUGGAUAUCUCACUGGCUGUAGUCUCACCUGAAUCCUAUUUGGUUGAUGAUCCAGGCACAUUCAAGCCUGUAUUAUUUGCAUCCCUCUGAUACUUAAGCCCAUACUUUCUGUCCAGAACACAAGUAUGGUGGAGACCUGCUAAAGUGGCAUUUUGCCAAAAAAAAAUGUGGCCAAUUAAAUGAUAUUGUUUGGCAUUUGUGUUAGCAUUGCUGUAUAUCAGUAUCAGUUUUGUUUGGCGUAACUUCCAUUUAUACACAUGCUUGUUCUGUAAAAUUUCUUCCUGGUUUUAGGUCCUGUGAUUAUAUUCAACUUAUCACAAAAAUUUGUUAGGCUUCUAGAGUUAUUGGUAUAUUUAACUAUUUUGUUAACUGUGAUUACAGGAAGAUACUGGCAAAAGGUUGCUGAUGAGCGAAGAAAGAAACCGGCUAGAAUAACCCUUGCUGACAAAAAUGCACCAAACGAAGAAGUGUGGAGGCAGGCAAGAUUGACAUCAUAGUAUUGAUAGAAAACAGUUUUCUGAAUGCUUCAUGUUUCGACUUUAAGGCUCGUUUGAUGGUAGAAAAUAGAGAUAGAACUGAUAAAUCAUCUUUUCCAGAUUGAGGACAUGUGUGGGAGCACAAAGGCAGCCGCUGUUCCUGUGGUUCCAGACUCUGAAGGUAGAUAUGCUUCUUGAUUUAUCACUCCCUUCUUUCUUCUUUACUUCACCAGUAACUCCCUUGUCUUCUGAAAGUUGUGUGCUGCACUUCAAAUUUUUGACAGAGGUGCAAUGUAUGGCACCUAUGAAUCUGGAGCUUCCAAAUUACAGUUGUUAUGGCCUUGAUCCAAGGAGAAUUUGCAGAUUAUAGAAGAAAAUUGCUUAUCUUUGGCCCAUGUUUUCUUGCAUUGUUAAGUUGAUCAUGUUGUGUAACUUUUGUUCUGGUUUCUUGUUUUUGCAGGCACAGAUUCAAAUCCAUUUUCUCUUGAUGCUCUUGCUGUUUUCAUGUUUCGUGUCCUCCAGCGGGUCAAUCAUCCGGUGUGUAGUCACCCAUGCAAAUGUGUCAUUAUCACUUGCAUAUAUAUUGUGAAAUGCCUGACAUUUGUUAGCCUUUAAUUUCAAAGGGAAAUCUGGAUAAGGCAUCACCCAACGCGGGCUAUGUUUUGCUAAUGUUUUACCACCUAUAUGAUGGCAAGGUAUGUACAUGUCACGUAAAUCUGUUUCCGGCUCUUUGAAUUCACCAAAUCACUGAUACUCUCAAUUUCAGAGUCGAAGAGAAUUUGAAAAUGAACUGUAUGAGCGUUUUGGCUCCCUGGUUAAGAUGCCUCUCCUUAAGCCAGAUAGGUAGGGGGUUUUCUUGAAUUGUUUUUUCCUUUGUUCUUUCUAGAAAUACCGUGAAUCCCAGAUUGAGCUAUGCAAUUAGAGAAAAUGUUCAGGCAGAUGUUCGAUCCACUUAUUUUCCAAGAAAAAGACGGCUUUUCAUAUCAUGGGCAAGAAAAAAAAUCAUGAUGAGGUGACUUGUCUAAACUAGUAACUCGAUCUUCCUUUGAUUUCAGAGCUCCAUUACCUGGUGCUGUGAAAGCGGUGUUAGAUGAGGGGAUUAGCUUGUUCAGACUGCAUCAGAGCAGGCAUGGAAGGUAUGAAGAUGUUAGCCCCUUCGAUAUAUAAUCCCCACCUUAUCUGAGCACAUUGUACAGACAAGAAAUCUAUCAAUAAGUUUUGUAGGGCAAAAAUUGCCUUUGUACUAUAGCAAGCUCUUGAAUACAUAGUAAUGGAACAUGCUGUACAAAACACUUCUCCCAGAAACAGUUGAUCUAAUUUAGAGUGUCACUUUGUCUAAUAAUGUUGACAAAACCAGAGCUUCAUUUCUAAAUUUGCAUGUCUAUAUACUGGCUGAUUUUUACAAAACAAUGUCAAACCAGAGUGGAUCCAUCAAAAGGUUCAUAUGCUAAAGAAUGGACACAGUGGGAGCAGAGGUUGCGUGUGACCUUGUUUGGGAAUGCUGAUUAUAUUAAUGCCAUUCAGGUAACUAUUUCAUAGAUAAAUCAAUCAUCAUCCAUAUUCUGUUGUUAUUGAAUGCUAUAGACAGUAAUGUUUUAACCUGUGGGGCCAACUGCUAAUCUGGAAAUACUGUAUAAUUUACUUAGGGGGUCAUUUCCCUAUGCUUCUUAUUUAUGUGAAUAUCAGCAAGGAUUAUUAGGUUAUUAGAAAGGCUGUUCGUUCAAUCUAUCCUUCACCUUAAGUCUCCCUUCAUAUAAUGUUUCAGGAAUAGGAGCACUAUUUUCAAAUGCUAAGGUUUCCUUUUAGCUCUGCUUUAGCAGUAGCGUCAAAUGAACACUUUGAAGUAUCCUGUGAUGUGUAAUUAGGAAGUUCUAUGGUCUGCUAUACACUAGUCCCAUCCUUCGUACUAAAACCACAAUGGACUACUUGCUUUAACGAUACUAAUGAUGAUUCAGUUCUUGUUUAAUCACAAAACUUUUUUGUAGGUUCCGUUUGAGUUUGCUGUGAAAGAAGUACUGGAACAGUUAAAAGCUGUUGCAAAAGGUGAUAUCAAAACACCUGAUACUGGGAAGCGGAAGUUUGGAAAUAUCAUCUUUGCUGCUGUUAGAUUAACCCCAGCUGAUAUAGUGGGCCUUCUCCGUAAGGUGAGAACAGCAUGCUCGAUUGCCCCGCCUUAAGUUUGCUCCAAAUUUGCAGUUACAAACUCUGCUUGCAUGCUUGUUGGAAUCCAUCCCUUUUGUAUAGGCAUGUAGUGCCAGUAGGUUUUGUAUUGUCGAUGAUGAUGUAUCUUAACACUUGUGGUACAUUGCAUUACUGUGACAGGUGUCAGAGAAGGACACUGCCGUAAACACUUUCCUCAACGAGAUAAAACUGGAGGACAGCCUAACCAAGGCCCACGUCACCCUCGCCCACAAACGAGGCCAUGGUGUGGCUGCAGUCGCGAGCUACGGAGUCUACCAGCACCAGGAGGUCCCCGUGUCGUUUAACGCCUUGUACUACACCGACAAGAUGGCCGCCCUGGAGGCGCAGCUCGGGGCCGUGAACGGCGAGCAGAUCGAGUCCAGGAACGAGUGGCCGCACGCCACCCUGUGGACGGCUGCAGGCGUCGCGCCCAAGGAGGCCAACACGCUGCCGCAGCUGGCCGCGGAAGGAAAAGCGACGCGGGUGCCGAUCGAGCCUCCCAUCACCAUAUCUGGUGUGUUGGACUUCUACUGAUUUGCCCGCCCGGGUUUUAGACUCUGUAGGUGCGGAUGUGAACAAUGGGAGAUAUGAUCGUUAGCUUCUGGUGGCCUUACACAGUUACACGUUAGCAGCUGAUCGUGGCAAUAAUUAGCAUGUAAAUUGGCAUUAGUCUCACGCCACAAUUGUGAGGGCUUAUAGGAUCGAACCCUUUUGUUUUCCCCCUCGAGCCGAUCCCUGGGGCGUUAUAAAUAACAUGCCGUGGCUACGGUCGCUUUUCCACGAUUAUGAAGUUUCGAUGCACGGGUGAGCCGAAAGAUACGUCUCGGCAAACAUCUGUAAAGGUUAACGCAGGCUAGCAACAUCCACGAACGGCAUUUGACACUGGUGCCUUAGUGGAAAGCAGACUCGAUCCCGAUGUGUGAAUGUGUCUGAUUACGAACCGUGGACGCGGCAAGCACAGGGAACGGUGCUGAGCGCGUAUACUGGCACAUGUUUUCUUCCACCUGCACUAAGUACGGAUCGGGCAUGACAUGACGCCAUCGGUGGUGGGCCCUGCUGUGACGUGCGCGCGCGGCUGCGAUUAGCCAAAUUGUGGAGCGCUCCUCACCUAAGAAGAUGCGGCGAAAGUUCCAGCCGACAUCGACAAAGAAAAAGGGUGACUUGAUGCUAGCAACAUAUAUAUAGACCUCCCCCGAUCCACACGGUACACAAAGAUAGCGAGCAAUCUGUACACAUCGCGCUGCCAAAAUGCACCUGCCAUCUACUCAGUGGUUUCCUCGUCUCGGGUCUCAAUCCAACCUCCAAACUUUCGAGCCAACAGCAUCCCAACAAGUCAUCGCGCCGCCAAAGAGAAGUAAACUCUAGCUAGCUCCGGCUUUAUUUUCGCAUACCACCUUUCCAAUUCCAUCUCCCACCCGCGAUAGAGAGCGACCCGAUGUUGUCUUCUUCGUAUAUGAUAUGAUAUGACAGUCCUCACAUUAGAUAAUAUGUACGCAUCGCAUUGCCAAAACGCCAGGUCUCUUGUAAGGAACUGCCCAAAUUAUCUCAACUAAAUCAGGUUAUCAUCCAUUGAUCGACCCGACUUACUCGAAAUAAUUUCGGUAGUCCCCGGUAUACGCCUUGAGCAUCGUCCCGCAUACCAUUUUUACAUCAUGGCAAUCAUCACAAGGAUACAUAUGAGAGCAAAUUUUAAAACUUGUUUACAAGUCUUGAUCAUCUUAUAAAAAUUUAUAAAUUAUAAUUACAAUAUAUAAGCAAUUAGAACAUAAGAGUUUCACCAAUUAAAGUGAGGUUUGUAACAAACUUAGAUUUAGCUUAGGUCUAAGUGGCUAUCCUAACAUGUUUUUCUUAGAUCGAGAGUUAAAACGCAGCGGAGAUAUAAAGUAAUAAUGUGCAAUAAUGAUGUCCUUGCCCAUAAGACACCACCUGCACAAGAUUAGAGUGAUAUCCAUCAUUCAUCCAUAUUGCUAGCUUAGGUGGACUGAAUGUGGCAAUCACUUAUAAAAAGGAAACCUGUAAAACAACUUAACGGCAGCACCGUAAGUACAUUGCGUACUUGCAGGACUUAUCCAUAAUACUAUACAUUUGGUGGAUGCAUGAGGCUUGUCAAGUUUGAACAUUAGACCAUAAAAAAAUGCGAGCAUAAUUUAUCAAGUGAAUAAGCAAAAGACAUGGCCUCUACUUUCUCUAUCAAGCACCAAUACAAUUGCAUAAGUAGUAAAGUGAUCAUGUAGUCAUGAGCCUAAUCUUCCACAAGCUCUUCACGAAACUCUAUGUUAAAGUCCAAGUACAUGAGUGUGCUCUUUGACCGGGAACGGGGCUAUUACAAUAGAUUAUAACCCUGCAGGGUGUAACUUUUCCCACACGAGGCGCAAGACCAACGACCAUACCAUUGGCCUAGGAUAAGUGUUGAUUCAUGCCCCCGACUGUUCACAUACCCGCACCCAACUAUGAACGAAUGGCCGGAAAUGUAUAGAUGCACUGGACACGGCCGCUCACACCUCAUCACAUCCCGCGCCGAAUCCGGUCAAGGCAAGGUGCGACUUAUGCUACUUGGCUUACCCUUCCCAUAUUAAGUAUGCGGUUUGUACGAAAUAGUGCUCAAGUAUCACAGUGAUAACGACCAGGCCUUAACCAACUCAAGCAAGCCUAUGCCACUUGGAUUUCACUUUCAACAUGGCCUAACACACUUGCUCAAGUCUUGAAUCAUCAUUCAUGUUGCUCAUCUUUUAUGCUUUCUCAACUACUCAAGUAUAAUUAAGCAAACAUCCAAAUUCUCGCGAGUGGUGGUGACAUUACCACCCCUCGACUUCUACCGAGAACUAAGCAUGACUAAGCAAAUAUAUCGAGAUUUCUAGCAUCCAUACUUUGGGCCUAUUUGGGACUGCUCCGCUCCAAAAAAAAAAUAGCUCCACUCCACCAACUCUAGGAAAAUAGGGAGCUAUGUACCUGUUUGGCUACCGGAUGCAAAUCCAACUCCAAAAAUUGUAGGAACUAGUGGGAAUAGUCACUCUUACUCUUGGGUGAUUUUUUUCCUGCUAGCUACAGUACCACGUGGUGCUACAAUACCCUUGCCACUACAAUACAUGAGGCGCUACUGUACACAUUUCUACUAUGCUUCAUCUUAUUUUUACCCAUGAAAAAUUUACAUAUUGGAGAAUAUAGACAACAUUGUUCCAAUAAAAAUUUAAUAUACCUAAUAGGUAGCACCAAAUGAUAUUACAAAAUCAACCACACCAACAUUAACUAGUUCCAAGCAAGAGAAAGGGCACUGGCCAACUCAUCACGAAAUACAUCCAUAGUUGGAGCAUUAGCAUCGGAAGUAGACCGGUCGGACGCCAAGGGAGAAACUGCAUAUUUGUUAUAUUUGUUAUACCUUUACGGGAUAGUAGGUAUGUAACUAGGAUCACGAUCAAACCAAUCAAAGUUAAUGUCUUCACCUCCAUGUUCACGAAUAUAAUUGUGAAGGACCAUAGUAGCCACAACAAUCAUCUUUUGCUUGUACACGGGGUACGGUGGCAUCUUGUAGAGAAUUUGCCACUUCAUUUUUAAUAAUCCAAACGAUCACUCAAUAACAUUGCGAAUAGAUGAGUGAACACGAUUAAAACAAGUUACAAACGAUCGAAGUGUAUGUGUCAGUCCAGUCCAUCAUAUCGCCCUGACCAUGAUAUUCACAUAUAUUUUCAACUAUUUGGAACACUAGCAAUUGUUCAAAUAUCACAACACUCAUGACACAUUCAUAUAUGCAUAGCAAAUCUAUUAACAUAGAUGAACAUACAUCAAGGACAAUUUACAUACCUCCUCUUCUUCAUUCUUCUUGGCUGCCUUGAAGGUCUUCUUGCUCUAUUCUUGGCCUCGACCUCUUCCUGGCCACUUCUUGCCACAACCAUGGCCAACAUUUCCUUCGUCAGCACCAAGAAAGGCGUCAUCCACGCUAGGGUCAGCCCCAACCAGGGAGUGGCCGCCCUUGGCCAGGCCUCCAGCCAGGGGCUCUUCCAGGCUAGGCUCAGCCCCAACCAGGGGGUGCCUGCCGUAGGCCAAGCCAUGGACGCCCCCGGCCAGGCCGUUGGCUAGGGCUUCUUCUAGACCCGGGUGGCUGCCACCAGCCAAGGGGUGCCCGUCCCUGGGAGCCGGUGAGUGGAACAGACUCCGGCCGACGGAGGUAGAGACACAGGUGGCGUUGGCAGCAAGAACUCUUUGGGCGGCAUGGGCUUGGGUCAAAGUCGAUCCAAUUGGAGGAUUAUUCACCGAUUUGCUAGGAUUGGGGAGUUGAGGAUCAUCCUCGGCAUCCAUCUUGCCAAUUUUUCGAGUGUCGGAGGAAGGGGAGAAGGUGGCGGUAGUGGUGGAACAGAGGAGUUCGAGAGGGAGGGGAGGCAGCGGUGAUAGAAGAGAAACAGGUGCGCGGGGUGAGGAAAGCCUCGAUCUUUUUUUCCUCUAUGAAACGGUAUGUGUAACCUGUGGCAUUGGUGGGUAAUUUCUACCCAACUCCAAGAGAAGGUUUGAAACUAGUGUUUUCGGAGCACCCUUUGAGGUGCUCUAGAAAAACCUUGGAGUUGGUCCCUGGAUCCACCUUUUUUCUGGAGUUGGUGUUAGUGGAGCUGGAGAUGUCUGGCAAGAUGAAUCUGGAGCAGAGUUGCAAAACUUGAGCGGAGCAGUCCCAAACACGCCCUUUCUCUAAAUAAGUUGAGCUAAUUCCAAGAGUUGACAUGUUUAGUAGGUUCUACACAUUGCAUAUAUCUAGAUAGAGCUAAGCUCGUGCACAAUCAUUAAUAAAUAAUAGCUUUCACAUUUAGAAAAUAGAGUUGAGAUACAUAGGUGCCUGCCUGAGAUUGGUGCUCUAAGAAAGCAACACUCUUGGACGUCGUUCUCUAAGAAAAAGAUAUGAAUGCAUGAAUUGGAAAAGAUGCUAUGAAUGCACAUGUGUAUGAGAUGCAAUGACUCAUGGGAAGUAAAAGCUAAGAUGAUUUCAGGUCAUCAAGCAAGCAAUCAAAGGUUAGAAGCAGGACACACAAGCACAACAUAGAGAGAAGGUACUAAAAUAAUAAGCCAUACAUGUGCAUAUAACAUUCUAAGACAAGUGGUAGUAUAAGAAGGUUAUUUAACACUAGUUUUGCUACUUUUUUAGUUGCCAUAUGAACUAUUAUAUAAUUAAAUUAUCACAACAUAAAGCAUCAAUUGGAGUAUUUCUUGAUUGUUAACAAUAUUAAAUAAUUGACAAUGCUCAAGUAAGCUAGCAAGUAACACUAGUUAACCAACAUUAGACAAUUCAAGAAUUAAUGAUAAGCUGUAGCAUCACAUCUGAAAUAGGAGUAAAAAUAUAACUUUUUAAAUGAGAAGCUAUUUAAUCUUGUUACACUUACUAAGGCAAGCAUUAUUAUUCUAGUAGUUUAUAACAUGGAGGUUUCUAAUCACAAAGGCAUAGCACAUUUAUUUAGGAAAUUGCAAACUAUAUGAAUACAUGACUACUUCAUGAGUAUUACCCAUGUUAUACAAUAUAUAAGAGUCCACCAAGGCUAACACAACUAGAUUCUUAAUUUUGGAACACAUAUGUACUUAUUGUGCAUUUUACUAAUUAACUAGGUUUAAGUAAACAUAGCUACAGCUGUACCAAUCUACAUAUGCUUCAUACAAACAAACACUUCUACUAGACGAUACAUGUCAUAUGGAAACUAGCAAAGUUGGUUUCAUAAGUUUUAGACUAACAGAGAAUUAACUAUGCAAAUAACAAGAUAAGCAUAUAUUUAAUCAAACUAGAGAUUAAAGUAAUAAUUUUUGGAGAAAACAUAUUUUUAGCCGGUACUAAAUAUCACGACGAAACUAGUAGAAUUUGUUUCUUAAUAUUUAGAGCAUUAGAGAAUUAGUCAUGUUUUUAACACCUCAUACAUAGCAAUGCAAAUCUUAGGAUAUUAUGAGUGCAGAGAAGAAUGUCAACUAUUUUUAUCAUACAAGUAUACAUGAUAGAACAUUUAAAUCCUACACAAAACAAGGAUAUAUUCACGGUUUUCCUCAAUGGCAUAACUAUAAAUAACUCGUCAAGUUCCCGAAAAUGGUAUUGCCGGUGAUUCUAGUGACCGAUUGCAGUGGGGUUUGAUCGUAGAGCUUUCUUAGGUGAUGGAGAUUCAGUUUUAGAUCAUAGCAACAACAUGCACAGAGGUUUAGACGACAUGCAACAUUAAUGGAGAUAAGCUUCCAUGGAGGUUAAUGGAGGAGCUUCCAAUGAAGGAGAGAGGAGGGGGAAAACAUAGGGGAACCUCACCAAGGAUGGGAAAUGAUGAUUUAGAGAGUCGCAAGUUGGAGUAGAGCAGUGAUGGAGGAGAUUAGGCUUGGACUUGCUUCAUCGGAGUUGAGGAAGAAGAACCCGAAGAACAACUUGUUCCAGGCUGAUUCUUGCGUGGGGGAGGUUGAUGUGGAGGAGCGGGAGCUUGUCCUUGGCCUUGCCAAGCUUUGGCAAGCCAGCUCCUGCCUAGGGUGACAGCGGAGGCGAGCAUCAGGAGGAGUGGCAGAAGCUCGAGGAAGAAAUAAGAGUGAGGGAGAGAGAAAACACGAGGAAGCCUUAGGGGUUUUGUGGGGAGGGUGCGGACGACGUCAGGCGCUUGGCGGACGGGCUGGAGGCCGUGUGGUACGGGAAACGGCUAGCGCAUCAUGGAGAAAACAACGUCAGCUGAACGGAACAAGGAGGAAUCGACACCUGUGGAGAUCUCCAAACAAUUUUACGGAGAUUUCCAUAACUACGGAGUUUUCCGAAAAAAGUUACUGAGUUUCUGCAACUCUCCCAGAAAAGAGAAAACUUCGAAGAAUACGCAAAAAUCUCCGGAUACUCCGCAAAAACCUGUGGAAAUUUCGCAAAACAUUGCGGAAACUCCACACAAAACAUCAUCAACAACUAAUUUGAGAGUUUUGCAUGAAUUUCUCAAGAUUUAAAGGAAGAACAUGUUGCCGGGACUGAAAUGAAAUAGACUGAACGCAUUAAAUAUGUCGAUUCAAAUUGGACCACCUAGAGAUCUCCAAUAAUCAUGAAAUAAAUCAAGGAGGUAGUAUAAAACAAGGUCAACCCAUUUUGCUCAUAACUAGCAUCAUAGCUAUUGCAGGUUUGAAACAAAAAUUCUUCCCAGGAGGCUAUUUUGGAGUUUUCAGGUAAACUGUUUGGUCUCAAGAUGGUCUCUAAAAUUCUAGGAGAAGUUACCUAAAUUUAUGUUUGGAGAAGCACUAAUUUAUCAAGUCAUCUUCCAGCAUAGGUUCAAUGGUAGAAAUCUAAGUUUAUUCACAAGGUACAUGUCAAAAAUCAAGUUUUUAAUUAAAUUUCAAGUCCAAUGGUAAAUCAAUUGGGCUCAAAAGAUGCAAUGAUGUUAGAGAUGAUGCACAUGUAUGCUCCAUGACAUGAUCAACUAUUUUGGGUUAUUACAUCCCUGCUGUAUCAAAACCCUGUCAGCUUCUACCCACCGAUGCAUGCAGCAUACUUGUCGAUACAGAAAGGUUGUUGGCAUCAUUUUGAAGUUAUCGAAGUGAUGGGCAACGACCUAGUCGAGCUGAGAUAUAUAUCAUCUGAUGGCGAUAGGACGGGUGGGAAAUGCAAGCCCCAGAGCAGAUUUCGAAGUAGAGACCCGGCGCCGAGACCAACCGAUGGAUUCGACGUCGUCCGCCGUGCUCGCCGGAUCCGAGGUCUUCUUCCGUCCAAGACGACGACCGGCCGCCCCGGCGCCCACAUGCGUCAGCAGCGUGCACCGGCGUACGUGCAGUGGUACUCCCUCCGUCCCAAGUUACAUGCAAGGAUACAGUUAUUAGUUGCAGCUAGACCUGUGUACUUUCGUUCGUAAGGAUAGUCAUCAAAGAAUAAACAAUGAAGUGUUCAGUUAUGCUUUCUGAUUCAGCACAAGUCUCGUGUCUCGAUGGGUCUGAACGAACCCAAUCUGAAUCCUCUCUUUCUCUGACUGUGACGACUAAUGGAGUCUCGAAGCAAUAAUCUUGGUUUGCCAAGGAUCGGAGAAGGUCUCCGUCACCUUUUGAUUUUGGAAGUGGACGCGCACCUUUUUUAUCUCUUCCGGUCCACCGUACCUGAAAUCUACUCGCCUCGUUUUUUAAAAAAAAAGUGUACUCCAAUUUACAUGGAAGAAAAAAAAAAUUCCUAGUAAUAUAGUAUUCUUUUGGGUCACUAGUCUCUCGUUGGUUAACUUGGCGCUGGCCCACGACAUGCCGAAACGUCAAUCUCAGCAUGUCUGAUGGAUGAUGAUCAGCCCAAUUUUAUUAGCUUACGCUCUGACGAAUUGUGACAACCAACUAAUCUCGGUCGUGAGGAGAAUUGAUGAUACCUGCCCUUUGCAAGGCCACUCGAGUUGCUCAAAUUUCAAACUUGUUGAUUUUUGAUUGAUCGAUAGUCUAGUCUAGCUAAAGAAAAAAUGUGCAGAUUGUAGAGACAACAACGCUGACUAUAGCAACUUCCAGGAACGGCAGUGGUUUCACUUUGGUGCGUGAUGAGUGAGUGGAAAGCAGGAUCAGUUGUGAGUUGUGACUGAUUGCGAUUUGGCGAACAGUGGACCUAGCUGCAACCUGCAAGACCAGGAACAGUGAAGAACACGUAUACGAAUGGAGACUCCCCUUUUUUUUUAAGUUCACACGUCUCAUGUCCCCAUCCAAAAUCUUGAAAACUCGGCGACGAAUAACUUGCCAAGGAAUCUUUGAUUUGCCACCCAACACAUCACCUCUUUUUGUCGUCAUGCACCGUUGCCCCUGUGGUAGAGAGAGACGUGAUGUACGACUCCAUGUCUUCCACUUCCACCCAAGUGGAAAAGAAUGAUGUUUUUUCCAAAGGCAUCUUUUUUGGAUCGAAUUGAGAUUGUCCCUAUUUCAUCGAUAAAGAUGGAGAAACUUUAUAGAAAAAAAUGAUAUAAAAUAUUAUUCUCGAGCUAAAGGUUUCGUACCAUGCUUCUUUUUGGUGUGUCUUCUCAAAGACAUCGUACCAUGCUUCUAUCCUAUGUCGUCGUGUUAUGGCAUGGUGAAUCUUUAGGGGGACCAGGACACCACGUCGCAAAUGAUCACGCCCCAACAAUAUCGGCUGGCGAAAACAAACAGAACCAUGCAUAUUGGAAGCGAUCGAUGAAGUUAAAUACAUACUGCACUGCAUAUAUACUCAGGCGCAAUUUUUGGGUCGCCGCUCGGCUCACUCCACCUGCGUCGUGUUCAGAGGUGAUGUUGCUCAAGUCGAGCUGGACAUCGGCUAACAGGCUGCUUGAGCCGAGCCAAUAGGAUGGAUGGGCGCGUGCUGUAAUUGCGGCGGCUGGUUGGGUGAGGCCUGACCACACGGAGGUCGGGGUCGGUUGCGUCUAUUGGAUGCGGCCACAAAAUACUUAUUCUAUGGCUGGCCAUAAAGAAACACUUAUAUAUACACACACAAAAAGUAAUAUAUUGCUUGGUUAUUAUAUAUAUUCAUAAAUUGUUCAGUCAUGGUCUCUCCGAUCAAGCAGUAGGGAUAUGAUCGAGAAUAUUAGGCUCGUGAGUGAUGACUGAUUGGUCCACUUGGCAGCAUCUACCAGGCCAUUGCUACAUGAUGUCAUGCCUCGGCUCAUCUAUGACGUGUGCGUAGGAUCGUAUCGAUCGACGAGCUGUGAUUAUCCAGCAAGACCAUAACGUCCAAGACGACGGCCGGUCGCUCACAUGCGUCAACGUGCACCGGAGCAUGCGCAUGCAUGCAUCCGUCGCACUUUAUCUAACCUGGAUCACGAUGGUAAUUAACAUUAGACAAUUGCACCGUCCAGUAUAAUUUACACUUUUACAGCAUCAUGUAAUAUGGGAAGUACGUUAUACUAUGCAGCAAGGAACAAUUGCAACGUGACUGCGUGUCACUUGUACCACCACCAGCACAUGUCUCGAUCGGUCUGGACCCAAUCUGAGCCCGGAAUCCCUCGCACCUGACUGGCGACGAAAAACAUUGCAAUCUUGGUUGCCAAGGAAAGAAAAAGCCAAGGGUCUCUAUCACCUUUGUGCACGCCACCUUUUUGUCGCGUCCGGCGGUCCACGACCUAAAACUCCUGUGGCCCGGGAAAAAAGUUGGCCGGCCUCGUAACCAUGCAUAUCCAUGGUCGUGCCGUGUCGAUCUGCCAUGGGAUCGUGCAUGCAUAAGCUCUUACUUCGUUCGAUCUGCUUUCUUUUAAUCCUUGUCCGACACCUGUUUGUGGGAGAGAUCGAGCAGCUCGUGGCACAAUGGCCACUUGUCUUUUGCACCGAAUUCGGGAGAGAGUGACACUAGGUCCACACUAGCUGGUAGCUACUUUUCCAUGCCGUCCACAUCGUCUCCAUUCUUCUUUCUGAUUCACUAGUGCGUGUAUUGGGUUGAACAACUUGAACCCAGCCUGAAUUAGCAAUAGCAAUCUUGGCUGCCAAGGUAAAAAGGUUCCUUUAAGAAAAAUCUGAGACCAGCCAAGGAGAAUAUCGUCUGCAACGCCUUUCCACGCCAUCCUUUUCGUCUCUUUUGAUCCAACUGACACGAUCCAAAUGCCCCUUCCAACGCGCCAGCAGAUCGAAUCAGAACGUGCGUGCUUGUGCGUGUGGGCAAGAAAUGAAAUCUCGUGCCACUCUUAUUUUCUUUCUCAAAGUAUUUGAUGUUUUAUGAGGUGUUGAAAGGCGCAAGUAAUCAUAAUCAAGUAGGGUUUUUAAACUAAUUCGCAAAAUUUUAAACAUUUAGCGAUUUUUCGCGUAAUAUGCACACAAGCAUUUUGUCGGGGUGCAUCGCAAAGUACUUGUGCAGAGGUGGUUUGGAGCCUUACACAUGAAGUUCCAAUUUCCAAAACGGUGAUGAUGCUCAUGGCCAAUUCUGUUGACUCGGUUUAUAUCAAAUUAGUUACUACUAAUGCUGAUCUACCAGGAAAAUUCUACCUGCUGGGAAUAUGCAGUUUUUUUCGUUCAAUUUGCCACUCAUGGAAAAAAAUCACAAAAUCAAUGAGCCUAGCCUAAUCAUCUUUCCUUUUAGGUAGGUUCAUAGGAGAACUAGAAUAUAUUGCUUCCGUCCAUUAUUGGAUCUGUCUAGAGAUUCUUGUCUCACUGAUCUUUUGUCUCCACUAGGUUAAGAUAAUCUCUGCUCCUAUCUUCUUUAUUAACAAUCAAAUUUGAUUAUGUGCAUUCUAAUUUCUAAUAGCAUCAUACACAUAAGAUUACAAGCAUAUACUCUCCUUCUGCAUUUUUUUUCAAAUUUAUAUUAACUAGUAAUUGUCUUCCAUGGGCUGUAUAUCAACUAAAUUUUAGACUUUGAAUCUUUUCUUGAACAGAAAAAAAGCCCCAACUGGAGCAUUUAUUUGCAUAUUCAUCGUGCGUAAAGUAUAUGUUGAGCUCACAUCCAUGUUAAAGAAACUUUCGAACCCAUCUGUGAGAUAAAAAAUUGGCAAAUUCGAAUAAAUAACCUCGCCUAAUGGGAUUUAAAAUUUAGGCUUCGAAUUUUGUAUGGAUAUAAACCAAGAAUCAUCUCAAAAUUUUUGAAAGGUCUAAAUAAGCAUUUUGAAGAAUCUUCAAAAAAUUAUCAAAUUUUGAAUACUUCUAAAAAUAUGCAUUUUGAAGAAUUUGUAGGUUUUGUAAUGCUAGGAGCACUUUCACUAGUGAAACACCCUUUUAUGAACAAAAUACAAAAGGGUAGGGUAUUUUUUUUUAAGUUAGGUAUCGCAUUUUGAACUUUGUAUGACUCAGCGACAGGAGAGCACAUUACGCGGGAUCGGAAGUGCGCUGUAGAUUAUGCAGGCAACAGGUUCAAGUGCAAAAGAGAACAUUGGGUCGAACAAAGUGCCAACCAUCCAAUCUCAUGGGAAUGUUCAUCCAAUUUUUUCUUUCACUUUACUUUUUGCAAUGAAAUAUACAUUCUCAUCAAGUCCUAACUACUAAUGUCCCAUCAUAAACCAAACAAAAAAGAAAAGAGAGAUUUCAUUGGUUUAAACUUUAAAGUGAGUACAUAUUCACCCACUAAACAACUAGAGUACCUGUGAUUUGUGAAUGCCUUUCACCUCCUUUUCCCAUUUGUUUUAUAAAAGACCUUCAGCAAAUGUCUGCCAAACAAUUAUAAAUGAACAUGGCAAAGAUAUAGUGUUGCACGGCACAUUCCAAGCUUCCCAGCAAUUUCUCUCCCACGAAGACGAUGAAGUCUCUGUUGCUCUCUGCUCUAUAUAAACACCAGAGCCCUUCUGAUCACAGAGCCAUACGAGUGAGAGUGAGGCUCACAGGCAGCAUCUGAGAGAGAGAUAGAGAGGGAGGCAGCCAUGGAGGCGUCGUCGCUGUGGAGCGGCCUCAACUCCGGCAUCGUGCUGAGCCUCCUCGCCGUGGUGUGGACCAUGCUGUGGCAGGGCCUGCAGGGCCUCCAGCUGCAGCACCUCUUCGGCCGCCACUCCCGCCGCAUCUCGCGCCGCCUCGCCGCCGCCCUCGACCCCUACCUCACCGUCACCGUCGCCGAGUACGACGGCGGCCGGAUGCGGCGGAGCGACGCGUACAAGGAGGCCCAGGCGUACCUGCAGCGCGCCACCCGCGAGGCCGGCGGCGGGGUGCGCCACCUCAAGGCCGAGCCGGACAAGGACCCCGACCGCCUCGUGCUCAGCAUGGACGACAACGAGGAGGUCGCCGACGAGUUCAAGGGCGCCACCGUCUGGUGGCUCGCCUACACGGCUCCGCCGCGCGAGGACGGCGGUGGCUCCCCCUACUUCUGGGGCCGCGGCGCCGCCCGCGCUGAGCGGAGGUUCUACCGCCUCUUCUUCCUCGAGCGCGACCGCGACCUCGUCCUCGGCGAGUACCUCCCCCACGUCCGCCGCGAGGGACGUGCCGUCAUGGUCGAGAACCGCCAGCGCAAGCUCUUCACCAACAUCUCCGGCGACACCUGGGACUCCGACGGGUUAGUCACCCGACCGACCGCCAUGAAUCAUAGCUUGUUUGUGAUCCCCGCGGGUCUUAUCACUGAUAUCAUCUCCUACUAAUGGCUCCAGCUUCUGGUCCGGCAGCUCGUGGAGCCACGUGGUGUUCGAGCACCCCAAGACGUUCGCGACGCUGGCCAUGGACCCGGCGAGGAAGAAGGAGAUCAUGGACGACCUCGACGCGUUCCGCAAGGGGAAGGACUACUACGCGCGCGUCGGCAAGGCGUGGAAGCGAGGGUACCUCCUCUACGGCCCGCCGGGCACCGGCAAGUCCACCAUGAUCGCGGCCAUGGCCAACUACCUCGACUACGACGUCUACGACAUCGAGCUGACGUCCGUGCGCACCAACACCGACCUCCGCAAGCUCUUCAUCGAGACGACCAGCAAGUCCAUCAUCGUCAUCGAGGACAUCGACUGCUCCCUCGACCUCACCGGCAAGCGCAAGAAGAAGAAGAAGAAGGCGGACGGCGACGGCCAGAGCAAGGACGGCGGCGAGAAGAAGGACGGCGCGGAGGCCGGCAAGGAGGAGGAGGAGAAGGCCGACGACAAGGGCGCCAGCAAGGUGACGCUCUCCGGCGUUCUCAACUUCAUCGACGGGCUCUGGUCGGCGUGCGGCGGCGAGCGCAUCAUCGUGUUCACCACCAACCACGUCGAGAAGCUGGACCCGGCUCUGAUCCGGCGCGGGCGCAUGGACAAGCACAUCGAGAUGUCCUACUGCUGCUUCGAGUCCUUCAGGUUCCUCGCCAGGGUGUAUCUCGACGUGGAUGCCCACCCGCUGUUCGACGCCGUGGCGGCGCUGCUCCGGGAGGUGGACAUGACCCCCGCCGACGUCGCGGAGAACCUGACGCCCAAGGGCCCCGGCGAGGACGCCGACUCGUGCCUCGCCGCGCUGGUGGAGGCGCUGGAGAAGGCCAAGGAGAAGGCGCUGGCGAAGAAGGCCAAGGAGGAUGCGGCGCUGGCGAAGAAGAAGGCCGGAGGAAAGGCGAAGGAGGUGGCGGCCGACGAGACCGACGAUGAUGACGGCGACGAUGAUGACGACGACGAUAAGUAGGCUGAUGUUGACUUGAUUCUUGGUUACCACUCGACGAUGAGUGCUUCCAUUGCUAGCUAGUGCCUAGUGCUAGUUGCUAGAGCUACAGAGUGAAGAGAAGUGGAGAUUGAACACGUGCUCUUUUCUAGGGGUAUGUGGUGUUAGCUAAUCUGAUUGGAUAUUUGGAUCUUCCGUGAAUAAUAGCAUUAGAGCAACUUCAAGAGUUUCUAAAAAAUUCUUUUCCAAAAUGAGGUAUUGGAAGCUAUGUUAAAAAAAUUUUCCCCAAAAAUAUAUUAAUCCACGACAGAACAUUAAAAAUUAUCCUUAAUAAUUUUAUAAAAAAGCCACCUCACUCCCGCUCUCACCGUCCCUCUCCACCCUCGCCGUCGGGCUCACCCCCGCCGCCGAGGCUCUCGAUCGCCACCAAUGGCAGCGAAGGCGCCAUAGUCAGAGCUGGCCGUGGCUGGGCAGGCGGCGAACGCGGUGAAGGUGCCAAGGUGGCCGCAGCGGCGCGCCGACGCUGCUGUUCCUGAACGCAGGUGUGUAAGAUGAUCCCCUUGUUUUCUGAUGAAUCUCAGUUGGCUUGUUGAGGACCCAGAAAUACAAAACAACUUUAGAAUCGCAAAGGAUUUGCUGUGUAAGAUGGCUUCUUCAGAGAUUGCUGGCCAGGCACCACAGUAGCCAUCGUCAGGUGCUCAUCCACACCAAUACUGUUAGGAACGAACGGCGUAUGGAAUAUGAAGUAAAGAAUCAAACCGCAAGGAGACACACGAUUUACGUGGAAAACCCCUUCAAUGUGAAGGGGAAAAACCACGGGCACCAGCCGGCAACAAUCUCACUAUAUCAAGAGUUUGGGGUUACACGCCUACGGCGGCUUACAAGAGAAUCUGAUGAUCUCUCUCUCUUCUGUUUCUUCUGUCGCAUGAAACCCUAGCAAGGGUGUCGGUAUAUAU